AAGAUUUUAAGUUAAUUAAACUGAAGACUUUCAAGGUCUUUAAUAAAUAAAAAUAUUUAAGUCUUG
rnacentral:tRNA from 1 species